UGAUAGUACCUUACUACUUGGAUAACCGUGGUAAUUCUAGAGCUAAUACAUGCUGAAAACCCCAACUUCGGGAGGGGUGUAUUUAUUAGAUAAAAAACCAACGCCCUUCGGGGCUUCUUGGUGAUUCAUGAUAACUUCACGGAUCGCAUGGCCUUGCGCCGGCGACGGUUCAUUCAAAUUUCUGCCCUAUCAACUUUCGAUGGUAAGGUAUUGGCUUACCAUGGUUUCAACGGGUAACGGGGAAUUAGGGUUCGAUUCCGGAGAGGGAGCCUGAGAAACGGCUACCACAUCCAAGGAAGGCAGCAGGCGCGCAAAUUACCCAAUCCCGACACGGGGAGGUAGUGACAAUAAAUACUGAUACAGGGCUCUUUUGGGUCUUGUAAUUGGAAUGAGUACAAUUUAAACCUCUUAACGAGGAACAAUUGGAGGGCAAGUCUGGUGCCAGCAGCCGCGGUAAUUCCAGCUCCAAUAGCGUAUAUUAAAGUUGUUGCAGUUAAAAAGCUCGUAGUUGAAACUUGGGCCUGGCUGGCAGGUCCGCCUCACCGCGUGUACUUGUCCGGCCGGGCCUUUCCUUCUGGAGAACCUCAUGCCCUUCACUGGGUGUGUUGGGGAACCAGGACUUUUACUUUGAAAAAAUUAGAGUGUUCAAAGCAGGCCUUUGCUCGAAUACGUUAGCAUGGAAUAAUAGAAUAGGACGUGCGGUCCUAUUUUGUUGGUUUCUAGGACCGCCGUAAUGAUUAAUAGGGACAGUCGGGGGCAUCAGUAUUCAAUUGUCAGAGGUGAAAUUCUUGGAUUUAUUGAAGACUAACUACUGCGAAAGCAUUUGCCAAGGAUGUUUUCAUUAAUCAGUGAACGAAAGUUAGGGGAUCGAAGACGAUCAGAUACCGUCGUAGUCUUAACCGUAAACUAUGCCGACUAGGGAUCGGGCGA
rnacentral:rRNA from 1 species